CCCUUAGACGUUCUGGGCCGCACGCGCGCUACACUGACACAGGCAACGAGCUUUCCUUUACCGAAAGGUAUGGGUAAUCUUUUGAAACUGUGUCGUGCUGGGGAUAGAUCCUUGCAAUUUUUGAUCUUAAACGAGGAAUUCCUAGUAAGCGCGAGUCAUCAACUCGCGUUGAUUACGUCCCUGCCCUUUGUACACACCGCCCGUCGCUACUACCGAUUGAAUGGCUUAGUGGGGCCUCAGGAUCCGCGCUUAAUGUGUGGAGAAUUUGGACAAACUACGUCAUUUAGAGGAAGUAAAAGUCGUAACA
rnacentral:rRNA from 1 species